GUCGGUUGAAUGGAGCCACUUCCAAUCCCCGUCCUAACACAAGAUCGGGCACACACAGAUGCCCAUAUUUGUUCAAGGAGUCAAACCCAGCGGCCUGCGUAAAUUCCGGUUUUCCUUGAAACCCAGGAAACAGCACUGAAUGGGAAAAGAUAACCUAGAGGUGCAUCAAACCAAAGAGACAGGUGUCAUCAAGUCCGGAUUUGACCAAUGUUAACCACCAAGGAAGUCAACAAAAUAGACAUUAUUGGUGAUGACCUUGCUGUGUUGCCCAGAAUUGAUAAGAAAUAUCCCCCAGGGAGAACCAGAGGCUUCUUCAUCACUUCCUAACCAGAAUGAAAAUACUACUAAGUUCAUUCAUAAUUUUUCUGCAUCAGGACCUCUUUUAGGCUUCCCUGUCACAAAGAUGCAGCCAAGAUUAACACUAAGCCACCUCGUGGGAGUUACUCUCAAGAAUCAAUAACUGGGGGUUGUGGCUGUGGCUUAGCCAUAGCGCACUUGCCUGGCAUG